GUAGUGUAUGAUCGAAGGCAGACUACAAAGAAGUCCUAUUUAGAAACUACUGCUCUGCCCUUCACGUUCAGUCAUGAAAACAAAAGGGACAAAAGGAAAGAAAUUGAUGCACCUUUCCUUUCCCUGCCUCCUACAGUUAUGAAGGAUAAAGGGAAAGCAAUUGCUGAGCCUUUCAGUAGCUUAUCUCCUAAAACUAAGAAAUAUGAGGGGAAAGGAGUAGUUAUUUUGUCUUCCCCAAUUUCAGGAAAUAAAGCUAUAGUCGAUAAUCUAAGGCAGACUACAAAGAGGUCUAAUUUAGAAGCUACUGAUCUUCCUGUCACUUCCAGUCAUGAAAAUGAAAAAGAUGAAAGGAAGGAGAAUGAUGAGCCUUUCCAUUCCCUGCCUCCUACUAUUAUAAAGCAUAAAGGGAAAGCAAUUGUUGAGCCUUUCAGUAUGUUACCUCCUGAGACUAAGAAAGAUAAAGGGAAAGGAGAAGUUAUUCUAUAUACCCCAUUUUAAGCAAACAAGAAGAAGAGCGGUUUUGAUGAGCCUUUCAUGUACUUAUCUCCUCAUAAGGUAAAAGCUAAAGCUCAGACAAUUUCUCAUGAGCACUUAUCUUCAGAUGAAGAAAAAGCUUAAGAAAAAUUUGGUGUUUUAUCUCGGAGUUACUCAUCCUUAAAGAAAACAAGGGAGAAAGGGAUGUCAGAUGCUUCAGUUUUUAGCUGCCCCACCUUGCUAAAGAGGAGAACCAAUAGGACUGAAGUCAGCGGAGCUGGUGAUAUUAAACCUUAUGGAUCAUGAACGGAUCCUAUUGGAAAGUGUAAGAAGAGAAGAUGCACAGAGCAGAAACCUGCCUCUGAAGAGGCCUUGCCACAAGAUUUUGUCAACUACUGGCGAGAUCAUUUUAAAGAGAUUGAUGAGUUUGAACUGCCAGAAGAGGAAGCAUCAUAUAGUGAUUUGGACUAGAAAGGUGAGGGAUAGUGCUUGGUAGGAAAAGCAAAUCUAGUCUAACCAAUUAACCCUCUCUGUAUUGAAAUGUCCAUAUACUUCAUAAACGAGGUGAUGUAAUUGAUUAACAUAGUUAUCAAUGAUAUCUCUUUAUAGUUCUUGUAACUUAUAUGUGCAUUUUUUGUAUGAAGAUGUCUAAAAAGA